UACGUAGGGGGCUAGCGUUGUCCGGAAUCAUUGGGCGUAAAGCGCGUGUAGGCGGUCCGGUAAGUCCGCUGUGAAAGUCGAGGGCUCAACCCUCGAAUGCCGGUGGAUACUGUCGGGCUAGAGUACGGAAGAGGCGAGUGGAAUUCCUGGUGUAGCGGUGAAAUGCGCAGAUAUCAGGAGGAACACCGGUGGCGAAGGCGGCAUCCUGGACCGACACUGACGCUGAGGAGCGAAAGCCAGGGGAGCAAACGGG
rnacentral:rRNA from 1 species